GUGGUUCUGAAUGGAAGGGCCAUCGCUCAACGGAUAAAAGGUACUCCGGGGAUAACAGGCUGAUACCGCCCAAGAGUUCAUAUCGACGGCGGUGUUUGGCACCUCGAUGUCGGCUCAUCACAUCCUGGGGCUGAAGUAGGUCCCAAGGGUAUGGCUGUUCGCCAUUUAAAGUGGUACGCGAGCUGGGUUUAGAACGUCGUGAGACAGUUCGGUCCCUAUCUGCCGUGGGCGCUGGAGAAUUGAGGGGGGCUGCUCCUAGUACGAGAGGACCGGAGUGGACG
rnacentral:rRNA from 1 species